rnacentral:lncRNA from 1 species
CUUGCCACUAUUUGGUGAAUAGACCUAUGUCACACAUAUGCAGAAAUACGUAGUUGCUGAUAAAUGGUCAAAGUUAUAGAAGGCUAUUUUCCUUCAGUGCACUUAGCCAGCUAAUUUGCUGCUUCUUUUUUUUUUUUUUUUUUUUUAAACAGUUUCAGCUCCUGGCAUCAGCUCUAUUCAAAUCUGGUUCAGAUUUUACAGCUCUGGGCUUUUCUGAUGUGGAUCACACCUAUGCUCAAAGAACUCAGCUCUUUGACACCUUAGUAAAUUUCUUUCCUGACAGCAUGACUCCUCCUAAAGGCAACCUGGUAGACCUCAUCACACUGUAACUGAAGAGUCACUGGACACAGAAAUGGAAAACAGGAGUCGAUUUUCCGUCUUUUGGAUUGCAGCUCCACUGACUGACAGUAAAGCUGCAGUGAUUGAGGACUGCACCAGAGUUCUGAAGGGAUCUUAACCAUCACAAGUUUUUACCCUCUUCCUUCAUGCCUGACCUCAACCCCGCUCUCCUCAUCCUAUUCCUAAAUUAGGCUAAUAAAGUGAAAUUGGUAUACUUUCCAGUU